rnacentral:rRNA from 1 species
GACGUAGGAGGCGAGCGUUAUCCGGAUUCACUGGGCGUAAAGCGCAUGUAGGCGGUUGCACAAGUCCGUUGCUAAAGCCCCUGGCUCAACUGGGGGAGGUCAAUGGAGACUGUGCGACUUGAGGGCAAUAGAGGCACGUGGAACUCCCGGUGUAGCGGUGGAAUGCGUAGAGAUCGGGAAGAACACCGGUGGCGAAGGCGGGUCUCUGGGCCGAUACUGACGCUGAGGAGCGAAAGCGUGGGGAGCGAACAGG